UCCGAUGUAGUCUAGUGGUUAUGAUUUACGGCUCUCACCCCUUCAAGGCCCGGGUUCUAUCCCCGGCAUCGGAA
rnacentral:tRNA from 1 species